UACGUAGGGUGCAAGCGUUGUCCGGAAUUAUUGGGCGUAAAGAGCUCGUAGGCGGUCUGUCGCGUCUGCUGUGAAAACUCAGGGCUUAACCCUGAGCUUGCAGUGGGUACGGGCAGACUAGAGUGGCGGUAGGGGAGACUGGAAUUCCUGGUGUAGCGGUGAAAUGCGUAGAUAUUGGGAGGAACACCAGUGGCGAAGGCGGCUCACUGGACCGGAACUGACGC
rnacentral:rRNA from 1 species